rnacentral:rRNA from 1 species
GACGAACGCUGGCGGCGUGCUUAACACAUGCAAGUCGAACGGAAAGGCCCUGCUUUUGUGGGGUGCUCGAGUGGCGAACGGGUGAGUAACACGUGAGUAACCUGCCCUUGACUUUGGGAUAACUUCAGGAAACUGGGGCUAAUACCGGAUAGGAGAUCCUGAUGCAUGGUGGGGGUUGGAAAGUUUCGGCGGUUGGGGAUGGACUCGCGGCUUAUCAGCUUGUUGGUGGGGUAGUGGCUGACCAAGGCUUUGACGGGUAGCCGGCCUGAGAGGGUGACCGGCCACCAUGGGACUGAGAGACGGCCCAGACUCCUACGGGAGGCAGCAGUGGGGAAUAUUGCACAAUGGGCGGACGCCUGAUGCAGCAACGCCGCGUGCGGGAUGACGGCCUUCGGGUUGUAAACCGCUUUCUCCUGUGACGAAGCGUGAGUGACGGUAAUGGGUAAAGAAGCACCGGCUAACUACGUG